rnacentral:rRNA from 1 species
AUUGAACGCUGGCGGCAGGCUUAACACAUGCACGUCGAGCGAGCGGCGGACGGGUGAGUAGUGUCUGGGAAACUGCCUGAUGGCGGGGGAUACCUACUGAAAACGGUAGCUUAUAGCGCAUACCAUCAGAUGUGCACAGAUGAGAUGAGCUAGUAGGUGGUGUAAUGGCUCAACUAGGAGACGAUCCCUAUCUGGUUUGAGAGGUUGACUAGCCACACCGGAGAUGUGACCCGGUCCAGACUCCUGCGGGAGGCAACAGUGGGGAAGAUUGCAACAUGGGCGCAAGCCUAAUGGAGCCAUGCCGGGUGGGUGAAAAAGGGCUGCGGGUUGUAAAGCACUUUCCGCUAGGAGGCGUUACUCGCAGAAGAAGCACCGGCUAACUCCGUGCCAGCAGGCGCGGUAAUAC